rnacentral:lncRNA from 1 species
GGGAACAAGUGAAAACACAGUAUACUCACACCCAAAACCUCUAAUUCCAUCCUCUUCUUGACUCAUUUAUUCACAAUUUUUUUUUUCUAUAUUUUUUUCUUUUUUUUUUCAUCUUGUCUCUUUUCUUUUCUCUCUUUUUAGGACACAAGUCUAAGAGACAAGAUACACACAUAUUUACAAAACAAAAGCAAGAAGAGGAACCAUCUAGCCAAU